CUCUCAUAAUUAGUCAAGGCUUUUAUGGAGCGACCUUAGAAAUAUGGUCAGCUUGUUUGUCCUGCUUAGGCGAAUACAUUGAGAGGUCUGUAAAAGUUGGAGUAGCUUCUGCGAAAGAACAAGACAGC
rnacentral:sRNA from 12 species